UACGUAGGGGGCAAGCGUUAUCCGGAAUUAUUGGGCGUAAAGAGUGCGUAAGUGGUUACCUAAGCGCAAGGUUUAAACUAUCGGCUUAACUGAUAAUUGCCUUGCGAACUGGGCCACUUGAGUGCAGGAGGGGAAAGCGGAAUUCCUAGUGUAGCGGUGAAAUGCGUAGAUAUUAGGAGGAACACCAGCGGCGAAGGCGGCUUUCUGGACUGUAACUGACACUGAGGCACGAAAGCGUGGGGAGCAAACA
rnacentral:rRNA from 1 species